rnacentral:rRNA from 1 species
CAUGUAGGUGGUUUGGUAAGUCAGUCGUUUAAUCCCUCGGCUUAACCGAGGUCCUGCGGAUGAUACUGCCAGACUUGAGUACGGGAGAGGAGAGUGGAAUUCCAUGUGUAGCGGUGAAAUGCGCAGAUAUAUGGAGGAACACCCGUGGCGAAGGCGGCUCUCUGGACCGCUACUGACACUGAGAUGCGAAGGCGUGGGGAGCAAACAGGAUUAGAUACCCUGGUAGUCC